rnacentral:tRNA from 1 species
GGUGCCGUGGCUCAAGGGGUAGAGCACCAGCCUUGAGUGAAAGAGCUGAGGGACAGCGCCCAGGCCCUGAGUUCAAACCUCAGUACCACCU